UUACGAACAUAGCGCGUUGAAACACCGGCUCGCGUAUGAUCACCGUAGUUAAGCAACGUCGAGUCUGGUCUUUACCUCGAUGGGUGACGGCUUGGGAAUAUCAGGUGCUGCAAA